rnacentral:pre_miRNA from 1 species
GGUGGGGGGGCAGUGUCACUCAGCCCAGAUUGCAAGAGGGCGCAGGCCAGGCCGAGGGACCCCACCGGUGCACA